UACGGGGGGAGCAAGCGUUGUUCGGAUUUACUGGGCGUAAAGGGCGCGUAGGCGGCCACCGCAAGUCGGUUGUGAAAUCUCCGGGCUUAACCCGGAAAGGUCAAUCGAUACUGCGGGGCUAGAGUGCAGAAGGGGCAACUGGAAUUCUCGGUGUAGCGGUGAAAUGCGUAGAUAUCAUUUGGAACGCCGACGGUGAAAACAGCUCGCUGGGAGUGUCCUGACGCUGAGACGCGAAAGCCAGGGGAGCGGAACGGG
rnacentral:rRNA from 1 species